AACGAACGCUGGCGGCAUGCCUAACACAUGCAAGUCGAACGAGACCUUCGGGUCUAGUGGCGCACGGGUGCGUAACGCGUGGGAACCUGCCCUUAGGUUCGGAAUAACUCCCCGAAAGGGGUGCUAAUACCGGAUAAUGUCUUCGGACCAAAGAUUUAUCGCCUUUGGAUGGGCCCGCGUUGGAUUAGCUAGUUGGUAGGGUAAAAGCCUACCAAGGCGACGAUCCAUAGCUGGUCUGAGAGGAUGAUCAGCCACACUGGGACUGAGACACGGCCCAGACUCCUACGGGAGGCAGCAGUGGGGAAUAUUGGACAAUGGGCGAAAGCCUGAUCCAGCAAUGCCGCGUGAGUGAUGAAGGCCUUAGGGUUGUAAAGCUCUUUUACCCGGGAUAAUAAUGACAGUACCGGGAGAAUAAGCUCCGGCUAACUCCGU
rnacentral:rRNA from 1 species